rnacentral:lncRNA from 1 species
CUGCAGCUUCUUCUUUCCCUGUAACAAACAAUAGCAGCUGGUUUAGGCCAUGACUUCAGAGAUUUCUUACUGCUGGAAAAUAUGGAGUUGAGUACCAACUGAGAGAUGAAUGUGACAUAUUUUAGGGAUGUACAGGCAAAGGAGAUGACCAAGAGACAAAUGUCAUCAGCAUUUACUUCUGUAUAGUGUGUCAACUUCCAGCUCUUGUUUGUAUUCUGAUAUCGAUCUUCUUCCUCAUAUUCAAUCCUAUGUUUUUUAAUGUUAAUGGCUGUGAUGCUAAGUCUGUCUGCCUCUUGUCAGUGCACCUUGUCCCCAAAGUGAGUUCUGCAUACUGGUGUUGAAAGAGUCCAGAAGUGUGAAUUGUCUAGGGUUGAUCUGAGGGGGAAAUGGUUUUGGAUUAAUCCAAGGGUUGCCAUUGUUGUUGACUCUUGUUUCAUACUUUUUUCCAGGCCUGCAAGAGUUACAGAGACCUUCUUAAAUUGAAUGAUGUCUCAGCUGGGAUAGAAGUAGUCAAUAUGCAUUUCAUUGGAGUUUUCAUGGCUUACAGUCUUGAAACAGCUGUAUAGUUUGCCAGUCCACGUGCAGGAUAUUUUUACAAGACACCAUGUGUGUGGAUGGUCAUUGGCUCACAAUGAGCUCAUCUGUUCUUUGACGGAUCUUGUUUUUAGUCCUGCACUGUCCACAACAUCCUCCUCACCUGGAAAACCUUCGGCAAUAUGCUGUGCUUGACCCAUCAAGCCAAGUGAAAUUGUAUUCGUUGCAGAUACUGAUGCCAUGCAACUGGAAGCCUUGCUGGUGGCAUGUAAAAGCAUCCAUUACACUCAUGGAGUAGUCGGUAUUAGGAAAGGCAUCCAGCCAUGGAAACCAUGCUAAAUGAGGUUGGAGUCCAAUGCAGCCCCUCAGGUCACCAGUCCCAGUCAAACCAUGCAACCCACGCCAGUUUGGACACUGGACAUCAAUUGAUGAUGAUGACGAUUAAAAAUAUAUAUAUUAAUAUGAGUGCUCAUGUCUGUCUAUGUAUAUAAAUAUAUUUAUAUUUUUCUGGUUUUUCUUUAUUGCAGGUUUUGUGGACUGUUGUGGUAAAUAUGGAGGCACUUGUGGCGCAACCUUGUGGAGAAAUAUAUACACAAGCUUAGUUACAUAUGAAUGCAUGACACACACAUAUAUGAGUAUUUGAACACACACAAACACAAAGACACACAAACACCCAUGCACAUGCACAAAUACUCGCACAAACUCUUAUAACAAAGCAUAAGAAAUAGCAGGUAUAUAUAUAUAUAUAUACAUAUAUUUUUAAUAAUUUAUUAUUAUUAUUAAUAUAAGGAAAUUAAUAUCCAAACUCGUCAUAAGGAUAUAUCUGAGCG